UACGUAGGGCGCAAGCGUUGUCCGGAAUUAUUGGGCGUAAAGAGCUCGUAGGCGGCUUGUCGCGUCGAUUGUGAAAGCCCGGGGCUUAACUCCGGGUCUGCAGUCGAUACGGGCAGGCUAGAGUGUGGUAGGGGAGAUCGGAAUUCCUGGUGUAGCGGUGAAAUGCGCAGAUAUCAGGAGGAACACCGGUGGCGAAGGCGGAUCUCUGGGCCAUUACUGACGCUGAGGUGCGAAAGCGUGGGGAGCAAACAGG
rnacentral:rRNA from 1 species